UAUCUUUAAUUAAAGUAUUAGUUUUUUUAAUUAACAUUUGGUUGCUUGUUUUAAGUUCUAAAUUUUCUUUAAUGAUAAAAUCCUUAUCCUUAAUUAAUUUAUCGUAUUUAUGGAGGUGAGAUUGAUUGGUUAGUUUUAGCUCUUUAUUCUUAAGAUUUAUUGUCUUAUAUUCAUCCAUUAAUUCAUUAAACGCAUCAUACAAUUAAUCAAAGGUAAAAUCUAAAUGCGUUUCAGAUGUUACCUCAUUUUCAUUUGCCAUGAAGCAGAAGUUGGCCUUUUCCUCUUGUUCCUCAUCCGAUGAUGAUGAUGAUGAAUCGGAGUCCGACAGAGUGGAGACGAGGACUUUCUUUUUCUUAUAUUUGCUGCCCUUCUUAAG
rnacentral:lncRNA from 1 species